GAAGGAAUAAACACACAUAAAAUAAACUACGGCCACUAUGGCCUUCUCACUCAAGUGUCCUGGUGCGGCGUUGACUGGUGUAAAUGUUGACUCUCGUCUAGCGUCAAGUUUGCUGCGCUCAACGGAACAGCUGUUUUCUGGGGUAUUCGCCGUGCGUGCGUACCACGGCCUUGCGUAGCUUCAUUUCGGUUGUUGGCAGAGUCCACCAAAUGAUCGGAAAGAGAGCGUUCUGAGGUAUCUUUUAUCUAGAAGAGCGGCGAGAAACCGGCACGAGCGUCGAUCACGAAAGCCGGUGCAUGUCAUCAGAUAUUGAGGGACUGAUGUCACAGGUGGACAACGAACAUUACAUCUGAAUGAUAAUCUGAACAUCACAGGAUCGAAAUGCCACCCGCGGUUAAAAGUUCCACAAUGAAAUAGUUGCCCAAUUAUUUCGUCAGAAAUACCGUGGAAUGUUUCAUUUGUUAAGGGCUAUUCCUUCAUUUGUAAAGCUAGUGAUUUUAUUUGUGAUCCUUUGUGAACGAUUUGAGGUCUCUUCAUAUUAUGUUCAUGUUCUUAUUGCCUCUGUGUUAUGUAUGUGCAAGCUUUCAAGGAACUUUUUUCGAUCACUGUUUAUUAUUGUGCUUGAACCUUCUCAUUGCCCUUUUGCAUUAAAGGACUGCUUGAAUUC